GAUGAACGCUGGCGGCGUGCCUAAUACAUGCAAGUCGAGCGAACGGACGAGAAGCUUGCUUCUCUGAUGUUAGCGGCGGACGGGUGAGUAACACGUGGAUAACCUACCUAUAAGACUGGGAUAACUUCGGGAAACCGGAGCUAAUACCGGAUAAUAUUUUGAACCGCAUGGUUCAAAAGUGAAAGACGGUCUUGCUGUCACUUAUAGAUGGAUCCGCGCUGCAUUAGCUAGUUGGUAAGGUAACGGCUUACCAAGGCAACGAUGCAUAGCCGACCUGAGAGGGGGUGCGCGGCCACACGAGAAGAGACACGGGCCAGAGACCUAUGGGGGAGGCAGCAGGAGAGAAUCUCCCGAUGGGGGAGAGAGCGACGGGGAACAACGCCGCGUGAGUGAUGAAGGUCGGGGGCGCGAAACUCUCUUUUUAGGGGAAAAAAUAUGUGUAAGAAAAUCUGUGCACCUUGUCGGGGCCCAAACAGAAAAACCCGCCGCUAUCUGCG
rnacentral:rRNA from 1 species